AACUCUUAGCGGUGGAUCACUCCACUCCUGCAUUGAUGAAGAAUGCAGCCAGCUGUGAGAAUUAAUGUGAGUUGCAGGACACACUGAUCAUCAUUUCAAAUGCACUUGUGACUCCGUGUUCCUCCUAGGGCUACACCUGUCUGAGUCAUC
rnacentral:rRNA from 1 species